rnacentral:rRNA from 1 species
CUGCUGCCUUCCGUAGGAGUCUGGGCCGUGUCUCAGUCCCAAUGUGGCCGGUCACUCUCUCAAGCCGGCUACUGAUCGUUGCUUUGGUAGGCCAUUACCCUGCCAACUGGCUAAUCAGACGCGGGGCCAUCGUAUGCCGAUAAAUCUUUUCACACCAUGCCAUGCAGCAUUGUGUGCUUAUGCGGUAUUAGCAGUCAUUUCUGACUGUUGUCCCCCUGCAUACGG